AUGAAGAUGAAGAUGAGAAGAGAACUCGAAGAGAGUGAAGAGAGAAUGAAGAUUGGUGAGGAGAAGAAUCCAGAUCCGAGCCCUUUCCCGGACAAUAACAAGGAAGUAGUUGGUAUACAAGCACCACAUAUUGGUGAGCCGCUUGCAGUAUGUGGCUGCAUAUGGUUGAAGCUCAAAGCAUAUGUAAUUUCCCCUAGUAUUCAUGAGGUUGUAUGCUUUAUAUUCGCCUGA